GCCCCCGUAGCUCAGUUGGACAGAGCACAGGAUUCCUAAUCCUGGGGUCGCGCGUUCGAAUCGCGCCGGGGGCA
rnacentral:tRNA from 1 species